GAUGAAGAACGUAGCGAAAUGCGAUAAGUAAUGUGAAUUGCAGAAUUCAGUGAAUCAUCGAAUCUUUGAACGCACAUUGCGCCCAUUAGCAUUCUAGUGGGCAUGCCUGUUCGAGCGUCAUUUCAACCCUUAAGCCCUGUUGCUUAGCGUUGGGAGCCUACAGUACUGUAGCUCCCCAAAGUUAGUGGCGGAGUCGGUUUCACACUCUAGACGUAGUAAAUUUUUCUCGUCUGUAGUUGAGCCGGUCCCCUGCCAUAAAACACCCAAUUUAUCAAGGUUGACCUCGGAUCAGGUAGGAAUACCCGCUGAACUUAAGCAUAUCAAUAAGCGGAGGA
rnacentral:misc_RNA from 1 species